rnacentral:tRNA from 1 species
GCCUGGGUGGUGAAAUUGGUAAACACUCGGGAUUUAAAAUCCCGCGCCUUUGCGGGCUUACGGGUUCAAGUCCCGUCCCAGGCACCA